rnacentral:rRNA from 1 species
UACGAAGGGGGCAAGCGUUGUUCGGAAUUACUGGGCGUAAAGGGCGCGUAGGCGGCUUAUCAAGUCAGGCGUGAAAUUCCCGGGCUCAACCUGGGGGCUGCGCUUGAUACUGAUUGGCUUGAAUGCGGGAGAGGAUAGUGGAAUUCCCAGUGUAGAGGUGAAAUUCGUAGAUAUCUGGAGGAACACCGGUGGCGAAGGCGGCAUCCUGGACCGAAACUGACGCUGAGGCGCGAAAGCUAGGGGAGCAAACGGG